rnacentral:rRNA from 1 species
GAUGAACGCUGGCGGCGUGCCUAAUACAUGCAAGUCGAGCGAACGGACGAGAAGCUUGCUUCUCUGAUGUUAGCGGCGGACGGGUGAGUAACACGUGGAUAACCUACCUAUAAGACUGGGAUAACUUCGGGAAACCGGAGCUAAUACCGGAUGAUAUUUUGAACCGCAUGGUUCAAAAGUGAAAGACGGUCUUGCUGUCACUUAUAGAUGGAUCCGCGCUGCAUUAGCUAGUUGGUAAGGUAACGGCUUACCAGGGCAACGAUGCAUAGCCGACCUGAGAGGGUGAUCGGCCACACUGGAACUGAGACACGGUCCAGACUCCUACGGGAGGCAGCAGUAGGGAAUCUUCCGCAAUGGGCGAAAGCCUGACGGAGCAACGCCGCGUGAGUGAUGAAGGUCUUCGGAUCGUAAAACUCUGUUAUUAGGGAAGAACAUAUGUGUAAGUAACUGUGCACAUCUUGACGGUACCUAAUCAGAAAGCCACGGCUAAUUACGU